GACGGACGCUGGCGGCGUGCUUAACACAUGCAAGUCGAGCGGUAAGGCCCCCUUCGGGGGGUACACGAGCGGCGAACGGGUGAGUAACACGUGAGUAAUCUGCCCUUCACUCUGGGAUAAGCACCGGAAACGGUGUCUAAUACCGGAUACGACCAACUGCUGCAUGGUGUGUUGGUGGAAAGUUUUUUCGGUGGGGGAUGUGCUCGCGGCCUAUCAGCUUGAUGGUGGGGUAAUGGCCUACCAUGGCGUCGACGGGUAGCCGGCCUGAGAGGGUGACCGGUCACACUGGGACGGAGACACGGCCCAGACUCCUACGGGAGGCAGCAGUGGGGAAUAUUGGACAAUGGGCGGAAGCCUGAUCCAGCAACGCCGCGUGAGGGAUGACGGCCUUCGGGUUGUAAACCUCUUUCAUCACCGACGAAGCCUCCUUCUUUGGGUUGGGGGUGACGGUAGGUGGAGAAGAAGCACCGGCCAACUACGUGCCAGCCGCCGCCGUAACAC
rnacentral:rRNA from 1 species